rnacentral:rRNA from 1 species
ACRCGUAGGUAACCUGCCCAGAAGCGGGGGACAACAUUUGGAAWCAGAUGCUAAUACCGCAUAACARCGUUGKUCGCAUGAACAACGCUUAAAAGAUGGCUUCUCGCUAUCACUUCUGGAUGGACCUGCGGUGCAUUAGCUUGUUGGUGGGGUAAYGGCCUACCAAGGCGAUGAUGCAUAGCCGAGUUGAGAGACUGAUCGGCCACAAUGGGACUGAGACACGGCCCAUACUCCUACGGGAGGCAGCAGUAGGGAAUCUUCCACAAUGGGCGCAAGCCUGAUGGAGCAACACCGCGUGAGUGAAGAAGGGUUUCGGCUCGUAAAGCUCUGUUGUUAAAGAAGAACACGUAUGAGAGUAACUGUUCAUACGUUGACGGUAUUUAACCAGAAAGUCACGGCUAACUACGUGCCAGCAG